AGCCGACGGGUUGUAUUCCCUGCUUCACUAGAGCAGAACUGCAGAAGUGCGACGCUUGUGACCGGCUUGACGAUAAAUUACGUCUUGCAAGCGUGUGUGGUCGGAUGUGCUCGAUAAAAUUCGAAACAAAAUUGUGAUACUUAAAUGUCUACUGGCAAUUUAUAGUUACGUCAGUUAGAUGAAUUGUUCCUGUGAACACGACUCUAUUCCAGGAAGUGAACAUUGGUGAACGUUAAUUAUUAGCCCAUUUGUCGCUUCCUCGUGUUGCCGGGAAGGAAGACCCACUGGUUGAUUUCGCCCCUAUUUAUAAGUUCCCUGCAGCACAAACCAUAUCGGAGAAGUUGACGCCUAUUUGUUGCCGCAAUGGAAGAAUCGCUGGUUGCUUCCUUGCCGGUCGACAUGGCUAUGGCGAGCUGGAGAGGUCUUCAGCAGCAGCAGCAGCAGCAGCAGCAGCAGCAGCAGUCACCGACCACACCCACCCGCAGCGUCACCCCCACCGCGGCCGCUUCACCACGCACCGCAGCGGUCUGCGGAACUGCCUGCCCCUCGCUGUCCCUCACAUCUCUGUCCACUCUGGGGAUGGGCAGGAGCUUUGCGGCGCCCUGCCUGCUGUAUCCUGCCGCUAUGUGGAGGCCGCCCUGCUGCCACUUGUUCUGCAUGUUGACGUCGGCCCCCGAGUGCGGCAGAAUUCCGCUGUACAGUGCGGUGGAGUGUAGCCGCGUUCGCGCCGGUUGUUCGCGUCUGUUCCCCUGGCCGAGACCUCGAGGUCUUUGGCCGCGUCUCCGUUCUCUGUGUAUUUUGAAUCUGCUUCUCGAUGCCUUGCUCCUUUGCGGUAUUAUUUUCCACGGAAAUGUGUUGCCGCAGUGGAAAAUCUGAAAGUCUUUAUAACCGUGCCAACUACGUGCUAAAAACCCAGUACUGUGAGCAGUGUGUAAGACUUGACAACUUGGUCCAGUAUGGGGAAGGAGAUUUUGAGGCUACACAGAAUUACUUGUCAACAUUUUUAGAACUGAAAGUGUAAUACCAGAGGUUGGUGUUCCACAUUACAUCUGAUUUGGGAAUCACCCUGCAAAACCCCCUGUUCAGGGUUACCUUUGCUAACCCAGAAAACUAAUUUUUGGCAGGCCACGUAUUUGAGGCAUAUCCUGUAAUUUUAAUGUGCGGAAUUUAAAAUUGAGCUGUGGCCUCGGGCGUAGAUCCUUAAGCGGGGAUUUGCAUACGAUUUAAUGUGAUUGAAGAUAUCCGAGUAAAACAAAUUUUCAUUUCAACACGUAAAUGUAUUCACUAAAACCAUCUAUUAACUUCACAUACAAAAAUUGACUGCCAAACUGUUAAGUCUGUUGGUGUUGAAAUUCUGUUUAAUGACUGAGUGUAUAGCAGUGUUACUGGUUCACCUGUGAAUUUACACACUGAUAAACCACAAUGAAAACUGAAACUUUGAGGUGGGAUCAAAAAAUACCUGGAGUGCUGCAGUUGGAUGUGCACGUUUUGUUGUUACAUGUUGUGGUACUAGGUGGUGUCGGUUAGGGGUAUUCCACGUGGCUCAGGAAGCUGGCAUCAGUUGGAGUUCAGUGGUUUGUUUGUUGUGCUCUCUUGUUAGUGUUUCUGUUCGCUUCCUUUGGCAUUUAAUGACACGGUUGACAAUGAGCAAAGAGUCUGCGUGAAAUUUUGUUUCCUGUUGGGGAAAACUGCAGCAGAGACUAUUGGGAUGCUUCGGCAAGCCUUUAGUGACGAUGCUUUGGAGAAAUCGCAGGGCGAAGAGUGGUUCUCUUAUUUCAGAUCUGGCAAAACAUCAACUGAAAACGUGUCACACUAUGGUUGUACUUAGACAUCAAGAAAUGAUAACGAUUGCCACAAUCAAUCAAACGAGCAAUUCUCAGAGGACCAGAGUCUGCAAAAUUUGUUCCUCGCUCACUCGCAGGUGACCGAACAGAAAACCACGUUAAUGUUUGCCACGGCUCGAAGAGUGAAAUGCAAAACUGUCCAACUGCUGGAUGAGAGUCGGUACUACAGGUACAAUCUGGAGUCGAGGAGUAAAAGCGAGUGCGGAGCCAGUGGAAAACUCGAACAUUGCCACGGCCCGAGAGAGCACGUCGAGUGCCGUCCGACGUGAAAACAGUGUUUAUCUGUGUUUUUGAUAUGAAUGGAAUUGUUUACAAGGAGUGUGUUGUUCCAGACAGUUUGUGAGCCGAUAUUUUUAUGAGGAUGUGUUAGGAAGAUACGAAGGUGUGUGCAGUGAAUAUGGCCAGAACUGGGGAAAAAUGGGAACUGGUUGCUCCACCGAGACAAAGCUCCAGCCGUCGCAGCUCCGACAGGCCGACAGUCUGUGGCAAAACGUGACACGGUGCUUGUCCCUCGUCCACCCUCUCACCCAAUCUCUCUCUGUCUGACUUUUUUUUAUUUUCACGGACGAAGCGAAGUCCAAAAGGAAACUGAAUUGGUGAUGCAGACGACGUCAAAGAAAACGCACUGCCGGCUUCGAACAGUAUCCAGCCACGAGAGUUCCAGAACUGUUUCCGGCAGUGGCGAAAGCGUCGGGCUAAGUGUACCGUUGCACACGGAUGAUACUUUGAAGGGGACUAAAAUACUGUAAAUGUAGGGUUCAAUAAAAUGCAAAAUAAAAAUUCCAGUUACUCCCAAUUACUGACAAAGUAGUGAUCGAAAGCUCGGUGUGUAACCUCAGAAAUUUGCAUUCGAGACGUGACUGUCGAUCUCGAGACGGGCAGUAGCGUGAAA